UCAUUUUUCUACCUUUCCUGUCAUUUGCCGUGUGCUGCCGUGGCUCGCAGGAGACCAGGACUCACUGCAGAGGUUCUGUUCAUAGUCCUUCAUGCGGAAAAUCUGGAGUUAGGAAAUUUAUUGUCCAAAGUCCAACUGAACAGUGGAUUCUAUGGAGAGCGAACAAAAAAUCGAAAUGCACCAUCAUCAACCAAAAUGAGCUCUGCAUCAAAUGAUGAACACAACUGGAGCCAUCUUUCCUACAUCAACAUGAACAUGGCCAUCUUUUGCAGAAUCGUGGAAUAAAUUAAGUUCAUGAACUGAGGAACAACUAAACCUUCUCAAGGGUAUAUUGCCUGGCCUCCAAAGCCUCAAUCUAAAAUCUGGAUCGUAGCCUACACGACCCUGCAACUUGCACCAUGUGGAUGACAAUAACGUCUUCCACCAGGUCAAAUAAUAACUAGGAUCCCUUGGACCAUGGCUCUGAUGGCCUCUAACCACCCUGAUGAAAUGAAUCCUGGGCAGCUAAUUUCCUAACAGGUCCUUAUUUAGCAGGCAUCCCAGGAACAUUUUAUUCUCAAAUGAAGAGUUUGCAGUUUUACACCUGGAGGCAACCACAGUCAUAGCAAGCAUCCCACCUCUCUAGCAAUAAUUAUCCACAUCAGUCACCUUCCCAUUUUCUUGGGUAAAGUACCUUACACCAAGAAGUCAAAGGUAGAGAGGCUUAUUUUGGCUCACAUGUCAAUCAACCAUGCCUUGGCUGGUUGGCUUCAAGGCAGAAGCAGCAUGGCAGAGGGCCAUGGUGGAGGAAAAGUGCUGAACCUGUGGCAGCCAGGAAACAGAGAGAGACAGGAGGACCCAGGAGGAAGAACAUACCCUUCUAGGUCACAACCCAAUAAAUUUCCAUCCCUGAUGAGGCCCUACCACUGAACAAAAGACCUGGGGGGACAUUUAUAUCUGAAGUGCAACACAAUUCUUUUUUAUGGUGAAUAUUUAAAUUUUCUUUUUAAAAAAUAUUCUUCCUCAUCUCUCCCCCUUCUCUUUCUCCUCCUCUAGUUCUCCUUUCCCCAUUUUCAUUCUUAUUGAUAUUAUUAGUCUUAGCACAUGUUUAUGGCAUAUAAUGUUUACAUUCAUUGAGGUUAUUAGGUUUCUGGUCUCUUAGCCCCCUUCCCAUUUGCAAGAGAUUCACUCCCUUGUCUCCUAUCCAUCCCCUGUUGAUCUCUUUUUUGUAUCUUGCCUUACUCAAAUGAAUUUAAAACAUCAUACUACAGCUAUACAUGAUAUCAAUGUUGAUAGCAGCACAAUUCAUGACACCUAAAUCCUGGAAGAACCCUGUAUAUUCAUCAACAGACAAUUGAAUAAAGAAAAUGUGAUACAU